ensembl:lncRNA
CUCUGUCAUGCCCUUCCAGGGUGCAGGAGCUCUCCCUCUUAAGUGACGUCACGGGUGGUUAUCCCCUCUUUCCUGUGUAAGAGCAGCAGCUGCAGCUCCUCUGCUCACUACUCAGCCAUCCUUGCAUCCUUGCGUGGACAGCUCUGUUGCCAUCUUCUACGGAGAGGACAGAGUGGCUGUCCUGGUCCCCGAGGGCAGGGACCCGGGCCUGGCAUUCCCCGAUGCUUUCAGCAUGGACUGAGAGCAGUGCCAGUCCUUCAAGGCAGCAAAGGGCAAGAAGGCAAUGAUGUUGGGCGUCCACAGUGGGACUGAGAAGAUAGAGGCCCCAGUGCUUCUUCUGGCUGCAGUAGGACAGGCAGCGACCCUGGGAACAGCAGAAAGAUGCCUCCGUGGGUACCACCUCUCCUUGCUGUGGCAUAUUAUGGAUCAGUCUCCUUCAAAACCGCUGCUUCUCUUUCAAGGAAAAUCAGGGCCAUGGCAUGCUGCUAACCCAAUAGCCCUGGAAGGAGAAAGAGAGACAGAGGAAGUGCCAACACAGAGGUAACCAUGAAAAUUCUAGAGGUGAGCAGCCCUGGGCAACGGCCCUGCAAAGACACCCCCUGGCCCCACAUGUCCACCACUCCAUCACGUGCUCUCCAUCCACUCACUUUGUCUCCUUUGCCAGCAGUUUGGGACUUCCGCACGUCUUCACAGCACUUGAGGAUGCACUCCUCAGUGCCCAGGAAAAUGGAUAAGAACUGUGAAAUACUCGACCAGUUCAACAGACGUCUUCAGGCCUUGACCAGAUGCAUGGCGAUGCUCACCUUGGAACUGCCUGAGGGCAGCGAUGAUUCCACCAGCUCGGUCACAGUGAGUGAAAACCGCUGCUCUUUGAGGACAUCGCUGUAUCCGUUGAGCACCAGUUGUGGGGAAAUGGAGGCACCUUACCGACACCCAAAAGCCCAAGAGAACUUGGAAAGCUCCAUCCCAGAAAGGAAAGCGGAGCAGGGACUGGGCCUCAGUGAUCAGAGAAAGCCUGAUGUGAUGGUGGCUCCCAGGGUGCAGGACCUGCCCUUAGAGGAUGAGGCUAUGCAAAGUCAUUUGGAGCAUCCUAACAUAAAAAUGCAGGCACCACAGUUCCUGAAGAGGAGUUUCUCAGAGCCUGUCCUGGGUCAGAGAGACUCCCAGCUUCCCCAUCCUCUGAGGCACUCAAGGAGGCCCACUUACUCGCUCAUCCAGCGUGGGCAUGGGCAAGCUCUGGCAAGGAGGUCAGCAGCAUGGGCCCUUGUCCUAUGGCGAAAAUCUGCCCCCGAGACAGAUACGUGCAGACAAGAAACAAGGAUUCCAGUCCACAUUGCCUGCUGCAGAAUCUAUGAAGGCCCUGAUGACCAUCAGAUCAAGAUGAUGCAUCUGUGGCUGGAGCAAUAUGAAUAUGUUGAGAGGCGAAAGUUGGAAUUUUAUAGAGACUACUACACCCAGCCUAACAACGAAGGAUCCCAGGGCGUGGCUCCAUCUGACACUGCAGCCCCGGUUGUUGCAGGAGGAGCAACAGUUCGAGAGAGGAAUUCACCCGAGGUCAAGGCCAGUGAGCAACAGGACAAGAAAAAUACCACUGCUGCCCAGCAGCCAGAGGGGCUCCCUGAACGUACCCUCGUGGAGAGUUCUUCGGUUCUGCCAUGGAGGCGUCUGCCACCGGGUAGACCAUUCAGACCCCAAGCAGCACACGCAGAGAUGACGCCCAGGCAAGAAGCAGCAGAACACACGACUCCUAGACCAGAGACACCACCUGUGCUGUGCAGAAACUGCUGUGCACCAGCCCUCCUGUGCCAUUUCAUUCAGAAUGCCGGGGCCAAGCUCCGAGCUGCCUGCAUGGCCCUCUAUUCCCUGAUCAGAAAGGCAACUAAGAAGCUCUCAAAGAAGGGAAGAGAGCCCAUCAUGAAAAACAGAUCCUUAGAGCAGGCCAGGCUGGACACAGAUCAACGUAGGAGUAGACGAUCACUGAGUCUACUGGCCAAAAAGAAAAACCCACGUACACCUCAGGAGGCAAUGAGGAAGGACAUGGUGGCAUCUCAAGAUAAGACUUUCAGCGAUGCCAGUGAGGCCAGAGGUGCCGAAAAAGCAUUGAGCCAGGGUGGCAGCAGCCACAGGCACCUGGACGUGCUGGCUCCUGUUGCCCAUAGAGAGCCAGCCAACGUGCUGCUACCUCGGAGAAGGCUGCUCUUGGAGACUGAAGCUCCUGCCCCAUCUCAGUCUGUUCUAGCAGAUGUCCAGGCAGGCACAGCUGCAGUGAGUAGUGGAUUACUGCCAGAUGCUACCAGGGGGCAGAAGCAGAAGGGCAAGGGACACACCCAGGACAAGCCAGCUCCUCCAAGAAGAAAGUCCCCAAAGAAAAAGCAGUCCUCCAGUGAGCAGAGACCCUCAGGUCUGCCACAGCCUCCAAAUCCCACUGGGACCAACGUUCCAGUCCUCUUCGUGCAGCAGCAGAGACCCUCAGGUCUGCCACAGCCUCCAAAUCCCACUGGGACCAACGUUCCAGUCUUCAUGCUGGAGCAGAGACCCUCAGGUCUGCCACAGCUUCCAAAUCUCGCUGGGACCGACAUUCCAAUCUCCCUCCUGCAGGAGCUUUUCACAGCACUUAGAGAUUUGAAGAAAGCCAGACAAACUGCUGAUGAGCUGCAGAAGCAGGUGCUGGCUUCCUUCUCAAAUCAGCCCACAAACAAUGCCAAGUAACUGAGGACAGAUACGGCAGCAGAGGAACCUGGGGCGAGGACACAGAGUGGAAGAGAAGGGCGAGGGAUGCACCCAGAACAGAUCUGACUAUGGGUCACUCUGCCCUACAUGCACCAAAGCUCCAUGCUGCUGCCAGCCAGGAGGUGUAAGCUCCCAGCGAUUGGCUGCACCUGCAACUGCAGCCCCAGGUGCAGGAAGAGAAGUGACUGUGAGAGAAGAAUCCCUCCAUGAGGACAGGGACAAGAGGCAGCAGACCUGAAAAAUGCUCCUGCCGAUCAGCAGCCAG